rnacentral:rRNA from 1 species
UACGGGGGGAGCAAGCGUUGUUCGGAUUUACUGGGCGGAAAGGGCGCGUAGGCGGCCAGCACAAGUCAGUUGUGAAAUCUCCGAGCUUAACUCGGAAAGGUCAACUGAUACUGUGCGGCUAGAGUGCGGAAGGGGCAACUGGAAUUCUUGGUGUAGCGGUGAAAUGCGUAGAUAUCAAGAGGAACACCUGCGGCGAAGGCGGGUUGCUGGGCCGACACUGACGCUGAGGCGCGAAAGCCAGGGGAGCGAACGGG